rnacentral:rRNA from 1 species
GAUGAACGCUGGCGGCGUGCCUAAUACAUGCAAGUCGAGCGAACGGACGAGAAGCUUGCUUCUCUGAUAUUAGCGGCGGACGGGUGAGUAACACGUGGAUAACCUACCUAUAAGACUGGGAUAACUUCGGGAAACCGUAGCUAAUACCGGAUAAUAUUUUGAACCGCAUGGUUCAACAGUGAAAGACGGUCCUGCUGUCACUUAUAGAUGGAUCCGCGCUGCCUUAGCUAGUUGGUAAGGUAACGGCUUACCAAGGCAACGAUGGUUAGCCGACCUGAGAGCGUGAUCGGCCACACUGGAAGUGAGACACGGUCCAGACUCCUACGGGAGGCAGCAGUAGGGAAUCUUCCGCAAUGGGCGAAAGCCUGACGGAGCAACGCCGCGUGAGUGAUGAAGGUCUGAGGAUCGUAAAACUCUGUUAUUAGGGAAGAACAUAUGUGUAAGUAACUGUGCACAUCUUGACGGUACCUAAUCAGAAAGCCACGGCUAACUACGUG